AGAGACUGUCCUUUUUCCUGCUUUGUUGAAUAUUAGUUGACCAUAGAGUUAAGUGCCCAUUUCUGGGUUCUCUAUUCUGUUCCAUUGAUCUAUGUGUCUGUUUUUGUGUGAUUGGCUUAAAUUUGCAUUAUUGCUCAUCCUUGGACCAAUUUUUAAUGGUAAAUUGGUUGGAAUUAUGUGAUUGGCUUAGACCAAUCUGUGUCCAUCUUUGGUCCAAGUCAGGUCAUAUUGUAUCCAACCACAAGUGCUACAAAAUAAGAAGAGAGGCAACCCAUGUUAAUAGAGUUAUGUAUCAGUGGCUCUGUGCAUGGCUUCAAAAUGGAUGGGUCAGACAAUAUCUCUCUUCCAGAGGAGCAUCUGAAGUGGGGUCUCCUCCCAAGAAGGAGCCUUGCUGCUUUCUCCUCCCUUCACCUGUCUUCUCCAGAGCAAAUCACGCUUCCCUGGGGAGGGCUGAAAAGAGCAUGGAUUUUAAGCAGUGUGGCCUUCAGCAAGUUGCUGUGAAUUUGCACUCCUGGGUGCCAGGACCUGCUUGCUCACCUCUGUCCCUGAGGCCUCUUGGCCACCCGUGCUUCUAGGCCACCCAGCAGUACUGGGCCGGAGUCCACACCAGCUGUUCUGGAUGCUUCGCUGAGUGCUUACUAACAUCAUCUCGCUUCACCCCCAUCAGGACCUUAUGAGCAAAUGGAGGCCUAAGAACAGUUGGAGAUUGGACAGGUCCGCAGAGUGACUUGUCUUAUCUGGAAAUAGGGCUUGAAGACAUGAAUCCAGCAUUCUAGAGGGCAUGGGCAGGUGGGUUGGGCUGCCCUGAUCACAGACUGUUGCCUAGAGGCUGUGAGAGAGGGCGGAGGUGCAUCUCAUGAAUGUCGUGGCUCACCGGUCAACCAGGCUUCACGUCUUUUUUUUUUUUUAAGACUUUAUUUAUUUAUUCAUGAGAGACAGACAGAGAGAGACAGAGACAGAGACAGAAACAGAGACAUAAGCAGGCUUCAUGCAGGGAGCCUGAUGCGGGACUCGAUCACAGAGUCCUGGGAUUAUGCCUUGAGCCAAAGGCAGACGCCCAACCACUGAGCCACCCAAGUGUCCCGAGGCUUCACCUCUUAAGUUGGGCCAUGCUGUUUCUGCUCAAGUCAUUAGAGUUAUCAGAAGUCCCAGUGGGCAUCCCUCUGCCUCUUCACUGCUGCUAGGCUGAGCAGAGUCAGGGAGGAAGCAUGAGGCUGCAGACACUGGAGGCUGGAGGCUAACUAUGAAGGCCGCCAGCAAACCAGCUCCAUGCCCAUACACACCGCCUUCUAGAACCCAGUUCACACGCAUUCCCUUCACCAUCUUAUUCUCUUCCUGAAUACUCUCAAGACCAUUGAUUGGAACAUGACCUCCUAGCUUUCUGGCAACUGCUCUUCAUCAUCCUCUGCCUGUCUUUCCUCUCCUACCCGCUUUGAAAGAUGGGCGCUCUUCAGGGAUCCCCCCAGGCUGUCUCUCAUCUCCUAUCUGUCCUGUCCCCCAGGGCCACCUCCUCUCCUGCAGGGUCUUCAGCUGUCAUCUGCAUACAUAGGACUCCCAGGCUUUUCCUUUAACCAUGACCCUUCCCUCGGCUCCAGAUCCCCGUGCUCAGUCCUGACCUGUCCACUUGUUGUCUCCCAGGCCCCAUCAAGUUCAACAUGUCCACAGUGGAAUUCAUCAUUUCUGCCCCAAACCUGGCCCCAACCCCAUCUGGUUCUCUAUUUCAUUCAGUAAAUUCCAUCUUCUUCCUCCUGCUUCUCAAGCUGCAGACCUUCCAUUUCUUCCCCCCCUCCUUCCAUGUCUAAUCAGCGUGGUAAAUUUUUCAUAAAAUUGUAUGUAUUCGAUCAAAACUACUAUCCUUCACCUUGAAAUUGUCUUUCAUGUCAGAAUGCCCUUUAAAUAAGCAAAGAAAUGUAGAAGAUGGUUGAUGGCAGUCGUUUUUGUCUGUUUGUCUGUUUUGAGUAUCAGUGAGGGCGACGCAGUUGAUAGCUACUGAAACCCAGGCCCCUUUCCCUUUUCCAUCUGGAUCCAGUUUUGUUCAGAGGUCCACCCCACCCCCCUCUUUAGAAGGUAAUUUUGAUGAGUCUAAGCCAGCAGUUCUCAAAGUGGGGCCAUGAGACCCUUCCAGGGCACCUCGGAGGUCAAAACUAUUUUUAGACUAAGCCAUUAUUUGCUUUUUUCACUUAUUCUUUUAUGAGUAUACACUGGAUUUUUCCAGAGGCUAACUGUCAUGUGAUCUUGCAACAGAUUGAAUGCAGAAGCAGAUAUGAGAAUCCAGCUGUCUUCUAUUAAACUAGAAAUUAAAGAGAUUUGCAAAAAUGUGGAACAACGCCAUACU